AGCAGGGCUCCGAGGUGUCCAAGUCACCCCACCAGCUAACCCAGCCCCUGUUUCCAGAGCCGAACAUCGAGAGCCCCCUGAACACACACGCGGCCGAGCUCUGGAAGAACCAAGUCGCCUACAAGAAGUACGUGAGGGAGACGUACAACAAGCAGGCCAAGGGCCAGGAGACCUGACCAUUGCCACCGCCCCCCACCAUACCCUCCCCUGCCCGGUGCCCCCCACAUUCUGUAUCAUAGGCUGUUUUUAAAUUAAUGUCGCAGUCCGAGCCACGGUUAAUGUAUAAAUAAAUGCACAUUUAUGACUUC